rnacentral:pre_miRNA from 1 species
GCUCUGGGUAGCUGCUGCCAGCUGGGAGCCUGGGAUGCUCCCAGCAGGCAGCUGGGAUGCUGCAAGCCCUGCUGGGAGCAUCCCAGCCUCCUGGCUGGCAGCAGCUACCCAGAGC